CCUACGGGAGGCAGCAGUAGGGAAUCUUCCACAAUGGGCGAAAGCCUGAUGGAGCAACGCCGCGUGGGUGAAGAAGGUCUUCGGAUCGUAAAACCCUGUUGUUAGAGAAGAAAGUGCGUGAGAGUAACUGUUCACGUUUCGACGGUAUCUAACCAGAAAGCCACGGCUAACUACGUGCCAGCAGCCGCGGUAAUACGUAGGUGGCAAGCGUUAUCCGGAUUUAUUGGGCUUAAAGGGAACGCAGGCGGUCUUUUAAGUCUGAUGUGAAAGCCUUCGGCUUAACCGGAGUAGUGCAUUGGAAACUGGGAGACUUGAGUGCAGAAGAGGAGAGUGGAAGUCCAUGAGUAGCGGUGAAAUGCGUAGAUAUAGGGAAGAACACCAGUGGCGAAAGCGGCUCUCUGGGCUGUAACUGACGCUGAGGUUCGAAAGCGUGGGUAGCAAACAGGAUUAGAUACCCGGGUAGUC
rnacentral:rRNA from 1 species